AUUGAACGCUGGCGGCAUGCUUUACACAUGCAAGUCGAACGGUAACAGGGUGCUUGCACCGCUGACGAGUGGCGAACGGGUGAGUAAUGCGUCGGAACGCACCGAGUAAUGGGGGAUAACGCAGCGAAAGCUGUGCUAAUACCGCAUACGCUCUGAGGAGGAAAGCGGGGGACCUUCGGGCCUCGCGUUAUUCGAGCGGCCGACGUCUGAUUAGCUAGUAGGUGAGGUAAGAGCUCACCUAGGCGACGAUCAGUAGCGGGUCUGAGAGGAUGAUCCGCCACACUGGGACUGAGACACGGCCCAGACUCCUACGGGAGGCAGCAGUGGGGAAUUUUGGACAAUGGGCGCAAGCCUGAUCCAGCCAUGCCGCGUGUCUGAAGAAGGCCUUCGGGUUGUAAAGGACUUUUGUCAGGGAGGAAAUCCUUAGCGCUAAUACCGUUGAGGGAUGACAGUACCUGAAGAAUAAGCACCGGCUAACUACGUGCCAGCCGCCGCCGUAACAC
rnacentral:rRNA from 1 species